rnacentral:rRNA from 1 species
UACGAAGGGGGCGAGCGUUGUUCGGAUUUACUGGGCGUAAAGGGCGCGCAGGCGGUUCUGUUUGUCGAGUGUGAAAGCCCCGGGCUCAACCUGGGAACUGCGCUCGAAACGGCGGAACUAGAGUUCGGGAGAGGAGAGUGGAAUUCCCAGUGUAGAGGUGGAAUUCGUAGAUAUUGGGAAGAACACCGGUGGCGAAGGCGGCUCUCUGGACCGAUACUGACGCUGAGGCGCGAAAGCGUGGGUAGCAAACAGG